UAUACGACCGUACCGCAAACCGACACUGGUGCGCGAGAUGAGUAUUCUAAGGCGCUUGAGAGAACUCAGGAGAAGGAACUCGGCAAAUUGACACCGUAACUUCGGAAGAAGGUGUGCCCUAUUAGUGUGUAGUGAACAACGAAGCAUGAAUGGGUUGCAAAAAAUCGGUGGCUGCGACUGUUUAUUAAAAACACAGCACUCUGCAAACACGAAAGUGGACGUAUAGGGUGUGACGCCUGCCCGGUGCUGGAAGAUUAAAUGAUGGGGUGCAAGCUCUUGAUUGAAGUCCCAGUAAACGGCGGCCGUAACAAUAACGGUCCUAAGGUAGCGAAAUUCCUUGUCGGGUAAGUUCCGACCUGCACGAAUGGCGUAACGAUGGCCACACUGUCUCCUCCUGAGACUCAGCGAAGUUGAAAUGUUUGUGAUGAUGCAAUCUCCCCGCGGAAAGACGGAAAGACCCCAUGAACCUUUACUGUAGCUUUGUAUUGGACUUUGAACAGAUCUGUGUAGGAUAGGUGGGAGGCUUUGAAGCAGGGUCGCUAGAUCUUGUGGAGCCAACGUUGAAAUACCACCCUGGUGUGUUUGAGGUUCUAACCUAGGUCCAUUAUCUGGAUCGGGGACAGUGCAUGGUAGGCAGUUUGACUGGGGCGGUCUCCUCCCAAAGCGUAACGGAGGAGUUCGAAGGUACGCUAGUUACGGUCGGACAUCGUGACGAUAGUGCAAUGGCAUAAGCGUGCUUAACUGCGAGACUGACAAGUCGAGCAGAUGCGAAAGCAGGACAUAGUGAUCCGGUGGUUCUGUAUGGAAGGGCCAUCGCUCAACGGAUAAAAGGUACUCUGGGGAUAACAGGCUGAUACCGCCCAAGAGUUCAUAUCGACGGCGGUGUUUGGCACCUCGAUGUCGGCUCAUCUCAUCCUGGGGCUGUAGCCGGUCCCAAGGGUAUGGCUGUUCGCCAUUUAAAGAGGUACGUGAGCUGGGUUUAAAACGUCGUGAGACAGUUUGGACCCUAUCUUCCGUGGGCGCUGCAGAUUUGAGGAAGCCUGCUCCUAGUACGAGAGGACCGGAGUGGACACACCUCUGGUGUAUCGGUUGUCACGCCAGUGGCAUUGCCGAGUAGCUAAGUGUGGAAGAGAUAACCGCUGAAAGCAUCUAAGCGGGAAACUCGUUUCAAGAUGAGAUCUGCCGGGGCCUUGAGCCCCCUAAAGAGUCGUUCAAGACCAGGACGUUGAUAGGUCAGGUGUGGAAGC
rnacentral:rRNA from 1 species